rnacentral:rRNA from 1 species
AGCAGCCGCGGUAAUUCCAGCUCCAAUAGCGUAUAUUAAAGUUGUUGCAGUUAAAAAGCUCGUAGUUGAAUUUCGGGAUCAAUACGUCGGUCGUGCUUCGGUACGUACUGGCGUAAUUGAUUUCUCCCUUCUGACGAACCAUGAUGUCAUUAACUUGGUGUCAUGGGAAAUCAGGACUGUUACUUUGAAAAGAUUAGAGUGUUUAAAGCAGGCUCACGCUUGAAUACAUUAGCAUGGAAUAAUGAAAUAGGACGUUCGAUCCUAUUUUGUUGGUUUUUAGGAUCAACGUAAUGAUUAAUAGGGAUAGUUGGGGGCAUUAGUAUUCAAUUGUCAGAGGUGAAAUUCUUGGAUUUAUUGAAGACUAACUACUGCGAAAGCAUUUGCCAAGGAUGUUUUCAUUAAUCAAGAACGAAAGUUAGGGGAUCGAAGACGAUCAGAUACCGUCGUAGUCUUAACCAUAAACUAUGCCGACUAG